rnacentral:rRNA from 1 species
AUACGGAGGAUGCAAGCGUUAUCCGGAUUUAUUGGGUUUAAAGGGUGCGUAGGCUGUUCGGAAAGUCAGGGGUGAAAGCCCGGCGCCUAACGCCGGAACUGCCUUUGACACUUCCGAGCUGGAAUACGGAUGCCGUGGGAGGAAUGAGUAGUGUAGCGGUGAAAUGCAUAGAUAUUACUCAGAACACCGAUUGCGAAGGCAUCUCACGAAUCCGUCAUUGACGCUGAGGCACGAAAGCGUGGGGAUCAAACAGGAUUAGAUACCCUGGUAGUCCACGCAGUAAACGAUGAUGACUAACCGUCGGCGAUACACAGUCGGUGGCCAAGCGAAAGCGAUAAGUCAUCCACCUGGGGAGUACGGUCGCAAGAAUGAAACUCAAAGGAAUUGGCGGGG